AGUAGAUUGGGAAACUCAUCAAAUUUUUCUGAAAUACCGAGACACAGCGUAACCGUCCAAUGGCGGGCCUCACCCGCAAGGGCUGGCUUCCGGGCCACGGAGGAUUACAAAGGGCGGCGAGCACUCAAAUCCUGUCAUUCGGAGUUUCAUCGCAUCCUUUGGUG
rnacentral:sRNA from 1 species